rnacentral:rRNA from 1 species
UACGUAGGAGGCGAGCGUUGUCCGGAAUUACUGGGCGUAAAGCGUGCGCAGGCGGUCUGUUAAGACCGAUGUGAAAUCCCCGGGCUUAACCUGGGAACUGCAUUGGUGACUGGCAGGCUUUGAGUGUGGCAGAGGGAGGUAGAAUUCCACGUGUAGCAGUGAAAUGCGUAGAGAUGUGGAGGAAUACCGAUGGCGAAGGCAGCCUCCUGGGCCAACACUGACGCUCAUGCACGAAAGCGUGGGGAGCAAACAGG